rnacentral:rRNA from 1 species
AAACGUAGGAGGCGAGCGUUAUCCGGAUUUACUGGGCGUAAAGCGCGUGCAGGCGGUUGCGCAAGUUGGGCGUGAAAUCUCCCGGCUCAACUGGGAGGGGUCGUUCAAAACUGCGUAACUUGAGGGCAGGAGAGGGAAGUGGAAUUCCCGGUGUAGCGGUAAUAUGCGCAGAUAUCGGGAGGAACACCAGUGGCGAAGGCGGCUUCCUGGCCUGUACCUGACGCUCAGACGCGAAAGCUAGGGUAGCGAACGGGAUUAGAUACCCCGGUAGUCCUAGCUGUAAACGAUGGAUACUAGGUGUGGGCGGUAUUGACCCCGCCUGUGCCGAAGCUAACGCGUUAAGUAUCCCGCCUGGGGAGUACGACCGCAAGGUUAAA